CGUAACCGUUCCAGUGACGCGCGCGGGUCCUCGCCCGGGUGUCUGCUGCGCUGCCUGUCCGCAACCAUCCUCCUGCCCCUUCAGCACCUUGCUGAACAAACGGGCGUCCAGGACUGGUGGAAGGACAUGACUUGGGGCACAGGUUGUGAUCCUCAAGUUUGUAGCAGAAGAACAAAGCAGAUUACUGUAUCUGAAGAAGACUGACAGAGAGAAUAAUGGAAGAUGAAGUCAGGUGGUGGAGAGGAACGAUCAUGUAAGGUAUAUAUUAAGUCUAAUCUCCUACCUCUUGAAAGAAACAACUCACAAUGGAUCAAAACUUUAACAUAAGACCUGAAACUACUGGAGGGAAAUAAAAGGAAGCUACUUCAAGAUGUUGGUACAGGCAAUGAUUCACUCUUUCUGGGAAUGUAAAUUAGUAUAAUGUCUAUGAAAAUUAUGGAACUUCUUCAGAAGAGUAAAAAUAGAAUUACAGUCAGCCCCAGCUGUCCUACUCUUGGGCAUCAGAUGAAGAAAAGAAGUCAGCAUACAAAAGAGAUGAUUGCAUGUUCAUGUUUGCUGCAACAUUAUUCACAAUAUCUAAAAUACACAAUUAGCCUAAUAUGUGUGGCUGAAGCAAAUAUGGUGGAAAUAUUUUGUGGAAUAUUUGGCACUAAAGAAAAAUGAAGUCUUCCCAUUUGCAGCAAAAUGGAAAAAAAUAUGAACAUUGUGUUAAGCAAAAUUAACCAGAGACAGACAACUGCCAUAUGUUCCCUUUCAUAGGUAGAAACAUUACAAAAAAUCUGAAAGUAGAAUUGGGAUUAUUACUAGGUACUGGGAAGGGUGCCAUGGCUUGGCAAUAGAAGGUAGAUGGAUAUGAUAAAGACACAUUAUAUAUAGUACAUCCUGUGAUUUUCAGAACUUUUUAAAGUUCUGAUUUAAACCACUCUAUAACAGACUACCAAGGACUUCCAUAUUCAUGGAAGACUCAUUAAUAAAACAGAAUGUACUAUGUAAGCCAGUCCAUUCUUUGCCAGUAGGAAAGCCCAAAUUGGAAAUAUAGCUCCUUCCUUCAUCAAACCUUUGCUAGAUAAAUUAGAGCCAAAAUGAGAUACAUGUGCUCCUGUGAGAAGUGCAGUGCUGUGUGGGCAAGGAUAUUCACCAGAUGGAGCUGUAAUUCAUUAUUACUAGAUAUGCAAAAAUGAUACAGCCUCUUUGACACAUAGUAUUAUCUCACCUUAUAUAGUGUAAGCACAUUGUUUCCUAUGACUCAGUAAUUCUAUUCAUAGAUGUUCAUUCCAGAGAAAUGAACACACUUGUCCUUGCAAAAUAUGUUUGUGAGUGAUAGCAUCAUUGCUGAAAUUUCUACCACUUGGUGGCUGAAUAAAAAAAAUUGUGGUCUAUGCAUAACCAUAGAAUUCUGACUAGCAAUAUGCAUAACAUAAUAUAUGAAGUUCAAAAUUACACUACUAAACAGAAUCAAACACAAGCACUUUGCUUUAUAUGAUUAUGUUUAUAUAAAGUAUUAGAAAAGGCAAAAUUCCAGUGAUAGAAAGGAGAUCAAUAUACUUAGGGUCAAGAUACAGGAGAUAAUCAACACACAAGGUCCUUUCAAAGACAGAUGUGUGAAAAACCUUCCUUUCUGUGAGGAACUUCGAUAGUAGUAGUGGUACCAUGCUUUGCAAUCGACAGACGGCAGCAAACUUGUGCUUGAAAUUAGAGAAUUGUAUUAAAUGAAAUUAACAACACAUUAAGAAAACAAUUAUUUUGUGAGGAUAAAAUCAGUUUCAGUUGUCCAAUAAAUAGUGUCACUCCAUCUGUUCUCUUUUUAGUAUGUUCACAGAUUAUGUUAGACUUUGAAUGAGAUCAUUAUACCUACCAACAUUGGAGGAGCAUCCAUUUUUUUCUGAUUCUUUGUCCCAAGCGAGAGGAGUUUGAGAAUUUCUGUAUCUAAAAUGUUUUAAAUAUGGAGGAAAUGAUGCUUAUUCCAGACUCUAUUCUUAUAUCAAGCACACGUUUAGUUAACUAUGAAUGUCUUUGAAAGAAAUUUUGGUAAUUAUUUGGGACUGUAAAAUAUAAAUCUUCCCAAGCUAUCUUUAAUGACACUUAAUUUUCAAUCACUGUGUAUCAGAUGCUCAUUAGUUAUGAAUGUUUGAAAGUAAAUUUGCAUCCAAUAAUGAUAUCACCAGUACUGUAGUAUAUAAAACACUACCUUAAUUUCUUCAACAUUGUGUUCUUAUUCUCUCUCAGAAAAGGUAAUAUGAAGGAUCCUGUUCCUUAUUUUGUUCCCAAAUUGUGGCACUCUAUUAUUUGAAGCCUUUACCUACCUGUAAUAUUUUAUUCAUAAUGUUUAUUCAGUAACUUAAAGUAUAAUUAAAAUUUUGUUUUCCUA